rnacentral:rRNA from 1 species
ACGAACGCUGGCGGCGUGCCUAAUGCAUGCAAGUCGCACGGGUCUCCCUCGGGAGACCAGUGGCGCACGGCUGAGGAACACGUGGGAAUCUGUCCCGGAGUGGGGGAUAACUCCGCGAAAGCGGUGCUAAUCCCGCAUACGCUCUAUCAGAGGAAAGUCGCAAGACGCUCCGGGGUGAGCCCGCGGCCCAUCAGGUUGUUGGCGGGGGUAAUGGCCCACCAAGCCUAUGACGGGUUGCUGGUCCGUGAGGACGACCAGCCAGACUGGGACUGAGACACGGCCCAGACUCCUACGGGAGGCAGCAGCAAGGAAUUUUCGGCAAUGGGCGCAAGCCUGACCGAGCAACGCCGCGUGCGGGAUGACGGCCUUCGGGUUGUAAACCGCUAUUGGGGGGGACGACUUCGACGGUACCCCCCGAAUCAGCCCCGGCUAACCCUGUGCCAGCAGCCGCGGUAAGACAGAGGGGGCAAGCGUUGUCCGGAUUGACUGGGCGUAAAGGGUCCGCAGGUGGCCCGGCGCGUGUGGUGUGAAACCUCCCGGCUUAACCGGGAGCCGCCAUCGCAUACGGCCGGGCUUGAGCUUCGCAGAGGUGCGUGGAAUUGCCGGUGUAGUGGUGAAAUGCGUAGAGAUCGGCAGGAACACCAAGGGGGAAGCCAGCGCACUGGGCGAAUGCUGACACUCAGGGACGAGAGCGUGGGGAGCCAACUGGAUUAGAUACCCAGGUCGUCCACGCCGUAAACGAUGGAUGCUCGGCCCGUGGAGCCUAUCAACGGUUCUGGGGGCCUCAGCUCACGCGCAAGCAUCCCGCCUGGGAACUACGAGCGCAAGCUUAAAACUCAAAGGAAUUGACGGGGGCCCGCACAAGCAGCGGAGCGUGUGGUUUAAUUCGACGCAACACGCAGAACCUUACCCAGACUGGACAUGUGGCUGCACCCCCUGGAAACAGGGUCGCCUUCGAGGGUGCCACACAGAUGCUGCAUGGCUGUCGUCAGCUCGUGUCGUGAGAUGUUGGGUUCAGUCCCGCAACGAGCGCAACCCCUGUCGCCAGUUACUUGUGUCUGGCGAGACUGCCCUUCGGGGAGGAAGGCGGGGAUGACGUCAAGUCCGCAUGGCUCUUACGUUUGGGGCUACACACACGCUACAAUGGGGUGAACAGUGCGCUGCGAACCGGUAACGGCCAGCAAAUCGCCAACACACCCCCCAGUUCAGAUCGGGGGCUGCAACUCGCCCCCGUGAAGGCGGAGUUGCUAGUAACCGCGUAUCAGCGAUGGCGCGGUGAAUACGUACCCGGGCCUUGUACACACCGCCCGUCACGUCAUGGGAGUCGGCAACGCCUGAAGUCCGUAGGCUAACCCUUCGGGGGGGGCCGCGGCCGAGGGCGGGGCCGGUGACUGGGACG